rnacentral:rRNA from 1 species
CCUACGGGAGGCAGCAGUAGGGAAUCUUCGGCAAUGGACGGAAGUCUGACCGAGCAACGCCGCGUGAGUGAAGAAGGUUUUCGGAUCGUAAAGCUCUGUUGUAAGAGAAGAACGAGUGUGAGAGUGGAAAGUUCACACUGUGACGGUAUCUUACCAGAAAGGGACGGCUAACUACGUGCCAGCAGCCGCGGUAAUACGUAGGUCCCGAGCGUUGUCCGGAUUUAUUGGGCGUAAAGCGAGCGCAGGCGGUUAGAUAAGUCUGAAGUUAAAGGCUGUGGCUUAACCAUAGUACGCUUUGGAAACUGUUUAACUUGAGUGCAGAAGGGGAGAGUGGAAUUCCAUGUGUAGCGGUGAAAUGCGUAGAUAUAUGGAGGAACACCGGUGGCGAAAGCGGCUCUCUGGUCUGUAACUGACGCUGAGGCUCGAAAGCGUGGGGAGCAAACAGGAUUAGAUACCCUGGUAGUCCACGCCGUAAACGAUGAGUGCUAGGUGUUGGGUCCUUUCCGGGACUCAGUGCCGCAGCUAACGCAUUAAGCACUCCGCCUGGGGAGUACGACCGCAAGGUUGAAACUCAAAGGAAUUGACGG